GAUGCAGUCGAGCGGAGACGGGAGCUUGCUCCUUGAUUCAGCGGCGGACGGGUGAGUAAUGCCUAGGAAUCUGCCUGGUAGUGGGGGACAACGUUUCGAAAGAACGCUAAUACCGCAUACGUCCUACGGGAGAAAGCAGGGGACCUUCGGGCCUUGCGCUAUCAGAUGAGCCUAGGUCGGAUUAGCUAGUUGGUGGGGUAAUGGCUCACCAAGGCGACGAUCCGUAACUGGUCUGAGAGGAUGAUCAGUCACACUGGAACUGAGACACGGUCCAGACUCCUACGGGAGGCAGCAGUGGGGAAUAUUGGACAAUGGGCGAAAGCCUGAUCCAGCCAUGCCGCGUGUGUGAAGAAGGUCUUCGGAUUGUAAAGCACUUUAAGUUGGGAGGAAGGGCAGUAAGUUAAUACCUUGCUGUUUUGACGUUACCGACAGAAUAAGCACCGGCUAACUCUGUGCCAGCAGCCGCGGUAAUACAGAGGGUGCAAGCGUUAAUCGGAAUUACUGGGCGUAAAGCGCGCGUAGGUGGUUCGUUAAGUUGGAUGUGAAAGCCCCGGGCUCAACCUGGGAACUGCAUCCAAAACUGGCGAGCUAGAGUACGGUAGAGGGUGGUGGAAUUUCCUGUGUAGCGGUGAAAUGCGUAGAUAUAGGAAGGAACACCAGUGGCGAAGCGACCACCUGGACUGAUACUGACACUGAGGUGCGAAAGCGUGGGAGCAAACAGGAUUAGAUACCCUGGUAGUCCACGCCGUAAACGAUGUCAACUAGCCGUUGGAAUCCUUGAGAUUUUAGUGGCGCAGCUACGCAUUAAGUUGACCGCCUGGGGAGUACGGCCGCAGUAAAACUCAAAUGAAUUGACGGGGGCCCGCACAAGCGGUGGAGCAGUGGUUUAAUUCAAGCAACGCAACUUACCAGCCUGACAUGCAGAGAACUUUCAGGAUUGGCCUUCGGACUCUGACACCUGCAUGUGUCUCAGCUCUGUCGUGAGAUGGAUCCGAAGACCCCCUGGCACUGGAGUUCACAUCGGGGGGCCAGAC
rnacentral:rRNA from 1 species